AUGUCCAUCGGCAGAAGAAUGGAUAAGAAAGCUGUGGUACAUAUACACAAUGAAAUAUUACUCAGCUAUUAAAAAGAAUGCAUUUGAAUCAGUUCUAAUGAGGUGGAUGGACCUAGAGCCUAUUACACAGAUUGAAGCAACUCAGAAAGAGAAAGACGAACUCUGUAUAUUAACACAUAUAUGUGGAA